rnacentral:rRNA from 1 species
GACGAACGCUGGCGGCGUGCCUAAUACAUGCAAGUUGAGCGAUGAAGAUUGGUGCUUGCGCCAAUUUGAAGAGCAGCGAACGGGUGAGUAACGCGUGGGGAAUCUGCCUUUGAGCGGGGGACAACAUUUGGAAACGAAUGCUAAUACCGCAUAACAACUUUAAACAUAAGUUUUAAGUUUGAAAUAUGCAAUUGCAUCACUCAAACAUGAUCCCGCGGUGUAUUAGCUAGUUGGUGAGGUAAAGGCUCACCAAGGCGAUGAUACAUAGUAGACCUGAGAGGGUGAGCGGCCACACUGGGACGGAGACACGGCCCAAACUCAUAGGGGAGGCAGCAGUAGGGAAUCGGCGGCAAGGGACGAAAGACUGAGCGAGAAACGCCGCGGGAGUGAAGAAGGUUUUCGGAUCGGAAAACUCUGUUGGUAGAGAAGAAAGUGGGUGAGCGUGUAAAGCUCAGUAAGUGACGGUAACUACCCAGAAAGGGACGGCUAACUACGUG